rnacentral:rRNA from 1 species
AAGCGUUAAUCGGAAUUACUGGGCGUAAAGCGUGCGCAGUCGGCUCGGAAAGUCAGAUGUGAAAUCCCAGGGCUUAACCUUGGAAUGGCAUUUUUAACUCCCGAGCUAGAGUAUGUCAGAGGGGGGUAGAAUUCCACGUGUAGCAGUGAAAUGCGUAGAGAUGUGGAGGAAUACCGAUGGCGAAGGCAGCCCCCUGGGAUAAUACUGACGCUCAGGCACGAAAGCGUGGGGAGCAAACAGG